CAGCACUACUUCAGUUUGUCCCUACUGCUGCCAUUCUGGAAGUGAGAUGCACAAGCCAAACUCACAGGGCUGUGCCAUCAAAGGAAACCACAUAUGCUCUUGGCCUGGCUAAACAUGGCAUGGUUGGCACAUGGAUAAAGAAGGUCACUGUGGAAGCAUGAACAGAAACAGCACAACAUUUUGCAUGCAAAAAAAAAAUGAGUCACAGAUACCUUAAGAAUAUAUUACUU
rnacentral:lncRNA from 1 species